ensembl:lncRNA
UACAGUUUGUAAAACACUCGCAGUCUUAUCAAUCCGUGCAGCGAACUGAGCUAAACCGCGACGUAUAGGCGGCUUCACAGACAACAAAGCAGUGUAGUCCGGGAGUUAGCUGGAAAUUUCAAAGCUCUUGUUAUAGCGGACGUCGUCACAGUAGAAAAGGUGUAGGUUUUAUAUUAGCAUUAGGAAAUGGUCAAGUAGCUACUGUGAGCCAGUGUGACCUGCAGAGAAGCUCAUGCUUGAUAUCAACUUUUUAAAAGGGGAAACAACUUCAUCAGCUUUAUACUUUAUAGCUUCACAUUUUCCAGGUGCUGUGGAGAAUUUUUUUCUCUAAGUGGGUGUGUCAGUGACCUCAUGGCCUCGUGAGAAAUUGCUCGCCCAUCUCAGGUAUUCCCCCUAUUCCUCGCAGCUAGACACUCCCCCUUUUAACCGAGGCCACUCUAACCAACAUGUUUUGAAAAGGUCAAUGCAAAGGAAAACAGAACUUUUACAAGAAACAUCCCAAAUACUUUCGUAUGAACAACAUUUAUAUUGAGCUAAAGGUCACAGGAAGGGAAAUGCUUUGUGUGUAAAUCUUUAUCAUUUAAAUGUUAAAUUAAACAAUAACCUUUCUAAUACACUAGAAAUUAGAGAUUUGUCCACCUGGAAAUGUCAUAUAUGGAGGAAUAAUCAACUAAUAAUUGUGUCAUCAGACACAUUGUAAUUAUUUAACAAGAAAAACAAAAGAAGUUCUAGAAAAGUUGACAGGAAUUCAAAGAACAUAAUGUCAAUGUGAAACACUUUGUGGUCAUUUAAAGAGAUGUUAUGAAAAAUCAGAGGUGGGCGUGUGCUGUACACUCACAGGUCACUGACUGUAAUAAAACGUCAAAAGCCACAGAGAAAAAUCCAUACCAGGGCCACACAGAAAGCCACAAAGUCUUUGUGUUUGUGUGCGUUAACCAAGACUUCCCUCCAGUUUUAGCAAACAAUCAAGUACAUAGGUGGCACAAUGAAGCAUUCACUGUAGUCUGAAGUUACACAUGUUAGCAAAGA